UAGACACGGUUAAACACAGUAUAGGUAAUAGGUAUUUAGUCCAUUCCGAAGUUGUAGUUUGUUUUGACAUUUCCGUUUUAUUUAACCUAACCUAUGUUUUGUGUUUUGUUGUUUGGUUGUAUACAAGGAGUUGUAUAUUGAAAUUGAAUUGAUUCUUGUUUCAUUGAAUUAUUGAAUAUAGAGGAGUUGUUCUGUUGCAAGUUGUUCUAGUUUUGUUGUUUUAAAAUCUGAGAAAAGCUAUUUAUAGAUAAUGGUGAACUUAAACAAGAAAUGGGCAUGCAGUUUGCUGAUUACUUAAUUGUGUACUCACAACACAUAGGAUUUCUCCGACACAGUUUCCAGUACAGAACUGCCACAGGAAUCUCCAGUGGAGUUGCAACCGCUCUCACGGACGUCCACAAAUCAAGUUACAAAACUGUUACAUGACUCUCUAUUGGAGUUGCAACCGCAAUUGGAUAAAAGUGAAAUUCGAAUAGUGCCAGAAAUACUAUAACCGUCCAAAGUGAUAGUGUGAAAUUAGAAUCAAAUGAUUAUGUAUAAAUCAUAUUGAUAAUAAUUAUAAAUAGUAGCUGUAUUUUUUAAAUAAACAGAUUUGAUAAGUUAUAUUAUUUUUCUACAGUUGGUAUGUUUUAAUAAAUAUAUUUUAAGACUACUGACAGUAUUGUUGGUACUUUGGAUCUUUUAUUUAUAGUAGAGGAUCCAAUAUAAUGUCGAUCUGCACCGAUCUGUUUAAUAAUGGAUUAAAAUUAUUGGAUAUGUAAUUUAGUAUGGUAACAAUUAUAAAAAACAAGGGGUGCCCGAUAUAAUUUUGUUCUGACUAUAAUUAACAUGCAUACAUACAUACAUAAUCGAAAACCUCUUAUAC
rnacentral:lncRNA from 1 species